CAGUCGCCGCGGUAAUACGAAGGGGGCUAGCGUUGCUCGGAAUUACUGGGCGUAAAGGGAGCGUAGGCGGAUCGUUUAGUCAGGGGUGAAAUCCCGGGGCUCAACCUCGGAACUGCCUUUGAUACUGGCGAUCUUGAGUAUGGGAGAGGUGUGUGGAACUCCGAGUGUAGAGGUGAAAUUCGUAGAUAUUCGGAAGAACACCAGUGGCGAAGGCGACACACUGGCCCAUUACUGACGCUGAGGCUCGAAAGCGUGGGGAGCAAACAGGAUUAGAUACCCCGGUAGUCCCUGUCUCUUAUAC
rnacentral:rRNA from 1 species